GGAAGAGUACAAGUGGAGCCCACAGAUGAAUAUACGUGUGAGUAUGACUCCACCUGGGACCACGAAGACCAGCAGAACCCACCGGACAGGACCAGCCCCAGGUCAAGGUCCAGAUCUUACAAGUUUAGGAGAUUUGAAGAUGCUGCAAGAGACAUGCAGAACUACAGGCAUGACUACCACAUUCAAACCGCGGCGUUGGGGAAGUGAAGCACCU